rnacentral:rRNA from 1 species
AGGGCACCACCAGGAGUGGAGCCUGCGGCUUAAUUUGACUCAACACGGGAAAACUUACCCGGCCCGGACACUGGAAGGAUUGACAGAUUGAGAGCUCUUUCUUGAUUCAGUGGGUGGUGGUGCAUGGCCGUUCUUAGUUGGUGGAGCGAUUUGUCUGGUUAAUUCCGAUAACGAACGAGACUCUAGCCUACUAAAUAGACUACCGUUCCUUUGUGACGGUAGGACUUCUUAGAGGGACAGGCGGCGACUCAGCCGCACGAAACAGAGCAAUAACAGGUCUGUGAUGCCCUUAGAUGUCCGGGGCCGCACGCGCGCUACACUGAAGUGAUCAGCGUGCAUUAAUAACCCUCUCUGUCAAGAGUGGGUAACCCAUUGAACCUUCUUCGUGAUUGGGAUAGGGUAUUGUAAUUCUUACCCUUGAACGAGGAAUUCCCAGUAAGCGCGAGUCAUAAGCUUGCGUUGAUUACGUCCCUGCCCUUUGUACACACCGCCCGUCGCUACUACCGAUUGAAUGAUUUA